rnacentral:rRNA from 1 species
AUUGAACGCUGGCGGCAGGCUUAACACAUGCAAGUCGAGCGGGGUGAGGUGCUUCGGUACUGAUCCUAGCGGCGGACGGGUGAGUAAUGCUUAGGAAUCUGCCAUUUAGUGGGGGACAACAUUCCGAAAGGGAUGCUAAUACCGCAUACGUCCUACGGGAGAAAGCAGGGGAUCUUCGGACCUUGCGCUAGAUGAUGAGCCUAAGUCGGAUUAGCUAGUUGGUGGGGUAAAGGCCUACCAAGGCGACGAUCUGUAGCGGGUCUGAGAGGAUGAUCCGCCACACUGGGACUGGGACACGGCCCAGACUCCUACGGGAGGCAGCAGUGGGGAAUAUUGGACAAUGGGCGGAAGCCUGAUCCAGCCAUGCCGCGUGUGUGAAGAAGGCCUUUUGGUUGUAAAGCACUUUAAGCGAGGAGGAGGCUACCUGGAUUAAUACUCUGGGAUAGUGGACGUUACUCGCAGAAUAAGCACCGGCUAACUCUGUGCCAGCCGCCGCAGUAAGAC